CAGCAGUCAAGAAUAUUAGUCAAUGCUCGUAAGAGUGAACUAGCUAACUGAAAUCUUAAUAUUAUUUUAUUGUUAAGAUAAGGUAAGAGAAAAUAAUGAUAUUAUCUUACUAUUAGUGUCGUCUAAAUUUGGUGCCAGAAGACUCGGUAAGACCUUAGACGCAAACGUUAAUCGUCAUAAUCAGGCGUAAAGGGUGUGUAGGCGGCUUUAAAAUAUAUUUAUUUAUAUUAAAAUUAAAGCUAGAAUCUAAAAGAGGGUAAGCUAAACAACAUAAUUAAUUAGGACUGACAACUUAUAAUAAUGUGGAGUACUAAAGGUUAAAGCUAUUUAUCUACUUAAGAUUGACGCUCAGAAACGAAGGGGAGAAUAAGAAACUUAGAUUAGAUACCUAAUUAUCUCUCUCAGUCAACGAUGAAUGGUAGUUAUUAAAAAUACAAAUAUAAUAAAAAAUUAUAUAUAAAUUAGUAACGAGGUUAACACGAUGACCAUUCCGCCUUGUUAGUAAGACUGCAAAGUUGAAAACAAAAAAAUUAGUCGGUCUUGAAGCAAACGAAGUGAAGCAUGUUAUUUAAUUCUAUAAUCCGCA
rnacentral:rRNA from 1 species